rnacentral:rRNA from 1 species
AGCUGCAUUAUUUGUACGUUAGUCGACGACGAAGAAGACACCGGCGUAACUACCGUGCCAGCAGCCGCGGUAAUACGGAGGGGUGCGAGCGUUAAUCGGAAUUACUGGGCGUAAAGCGCAUGCAGGUGGUUUGUUAAGUCAGAUGUGAAAGCCCGGGGCUCAACCUCGGAAUAGCAUUUGAAACUGGCAGACUAGAGUACUGUAGAGGGGGGUAGGAAUUUCAGGUGUAGCGGUGAAAUGCGUAGAGAUCUGAAGGAAUACCGGUGGCGAAGGCGGCCCCCUGGACAGAUACUGACACUCAGAUGCGAAAGCGUGGGGAGCAAACAGGAUUAGAUACCCUGGUAG